rnacentral:rRNA from 1 species
AGGAUGAUCAGCCACACUGGGACUGAGACACGGCCCAGACUCCUACGGGAGGCAGCAGUGGGGAAUAUUGGGACAAAUGGGCGCAAGCCUGAUCCAGCAAUGCCGCGUGGGGUGAAGACGGCCUGCGGGUUGUAAAGCCCUUUAAGCGGGGAGGAACGCCGGAACGCGAAUACCGUUUCGGACUGACGUUACCCGCAGAAUAAGCACCGGCUAACUCCGUGCCAGCAGCCGCGGUAAUACGGGGGGUGCGAGCGUUAAUCGGAAUUACUGGGCGUAAAGCGUGCGUAGGCGGUGCAAUCAGUCAGCCGUGAAAGCCCCGGGCUUAACCUGGGGAAUGGCGGUUGAGACGGUUGGACUAGAGUGGGCUAGAGGAUCGUGGAACUCCCGGUGUAGCGGUGAAAUGCGUAGAGAUCGGGAAGAACACCGAUGGCGAAGGC